rnacentral:lncRNA from 1 species
UGGGGUCACUUGGGGUCAUUUAGGGGUAUUCUGGGAGCUGGUUUGGGGCCAUUUUGGGGUUUUGGGGCCGUUUGGGGGUUUUGGAGGUUAUUUGGGGGCAUUCUGGGGCCAUGUUGGGGGUUUGGGACCAUUUGGGGGCCAUUUCUGGGCCAUUUUGGGCCAUUUCUGGGCCAUUUCGGGUCUGUUUUAGGGCCAUUUGGGGUUUUGGGGGCCAUUUCGGGGUCAUUUUGGGGGCCACAUCUGGGCAGUUUUGGGGUCAUUUUGGGCCAUUUUGGGGCCAUUUUGGGCUAUUUUUGUCCAUUUUGGUGCCGAUUUUGGGGUUUUAGGGCCAUUUGGGCCCAUUUUGGGGUCACUUAGGGUCAUUUUGGGGCCAUUUUUGGGGUUUUGGGGGCCAUUCCUGAGCCAUUUUGGGGUCAUUUGGGGCCAUUUCUGGGCCAUUUUUGUCCAUUUUGGUGCCAAUUUUGUUUUUUUUCCCCCCCCCCCCACCUCACCUCCAUCAUCGCAGACGGGCAUGGAGCCCCCCCAGCGCCCCCCCGGGCCGCAGGUUCGGUUUCGGGGCCCCCUGAGGACGAAGCCCUCGAAGCAGCCGAAUUCCAGGCGGGAGCCGGGGCGGUGCCGCCCCCCCCCGCGGCCAGAACCAGCCGUGGUCGAACUCCAGGGGGGCCGGGCACCACACGGCUGGGGGGGGGGCGCGGGACCCUCAGGGGAUGGACCCAGACCCCCCCCAGGUCACCCCAAAGACCCC